GCGGGGAAUCUUGCGCAAUGGGCGAAAGACUGACGCAGCCAUGCCGCGUGAAUGAUGAAGGUCUUAGGAUUGUAAAAUUCUUUCACCGGGGACGAUAAUGACGGUACCCGGAGAAGAAGCCCCGGCUAACUUCGUGCCAGCAGCCGCGGUAAUACGAAGGGGGCUAGCGUUGCUCGGAAUUACUGGGCGUAAAGGGCGCGUAGGCGGACAGGUUAGUCAGAGGUGAAAGCCCAGGGCUGAACCUUGGAAUUGCCUUUGAUACUGGCUGUCUGGAUUACGGGGAAGGUGAGUGGAACUCCGAGUUUAUAGGUGAAAUUCGUAGAUAUUCGGAAGAACACCAGUGGCGAAGGCGACUCACUGGCCCGUUACUGACGCUGAGGCGCGAAAGCGUGGGGAGCAAACAGGAUUAGAAACCCCGGUAGUCC
rnacentral:rRNA from 1 species